rnacentral:rRNA from 1 species
UACGUAGGGUGCGAGCGUUAAUCGGAAUUACUGGGCGUAAAGCGUGCGCAGGCGGUCCGCAAAGUCUGAUGUGAAAGCCCCGGGCUCAACCUGGGAACUGCAUUGGAAACUAACGGGCUCGAGUGUGGCAGAGGGGGGUGGAAUUCCACGUGUAGCGGUGAAAUGCGUAGAGAUGUGGAGGAACACCGAUGGCGAAGGCAGCCUCCUGGGCCAACACUGACGCUCAUGCACGAAAGCGUGGGGAGCAAACAGG